UACGGGGGGGGCAAGCGUUGUUCGGAAUUACUGGGCGUAAAGGGCUCGUAGGCGGCCAACUAAGUCAGACGUGAAAUCCCUCGGCUUAACCGGGGAACGGCGUCUGAUACUGGAUGGCUUGAGUUCGGGAGAGGGAUGCGGAAUUCCAGGUGUAGCGGUGAAAUGCGUAGAUAUCUGGAGGAACACCGGUGGCGAAGGCGGCAUCCUGGACCGGUAGUUGACGCUGAGGCGCGAAAGCCAGGGGAGCAGGCGGG
rnacentral:rRNA from 1 species